AAAAAAGUUUUAUAGGGUUCCGCAGUUCUGCAAAGCUCUGGUCUGGACCGAGAUAAAACCACAGUACCUGUGUACACGGAAGGAUAAAAGCCUGGGAGAU
rnacentral:sRNA from 2 species